GCUCCGGAUUAACUUAGCGGCGGACGGGUGAGUAACACGUAGGCAACCUACCUCUUUGACUGGGAUAACUACCGGAAACGGUAGCUAAUACCGGAUAAUUCCUUUGUUCACCUGGACGAAGGAUGAAAGGCGGAGCAAUCUGCUACAAGGAGAUGGGCCUGCGGCGCAUUAGCUAGUUGGUGGGGUAACGGCUCACCAAGGCGACGAUGCGUAGCCGACCUGAGAGGGUGAACGGCCACACUGGGACUGAGACACGGCCCAGACUCCUACGGGAGGCAGCAGUAGGGAAUCUUCCGCAAUGGGCGAAAGCCUGACGGAGCAACGCCGCGUGAGUGAUGAAGGUUUUCGGAUCGUAAAGCUCUGUUGCCAGGGAAGAACGUCCGGUAGAGUAACUGCUACCGGAGUGACGGUACCUGAGAAGAAAGCCCCGGCUAACUACGUGCCAGCAGCCGCGGUAAUACGUAGGGGGCAAGCGUUGUCCGGAAUUAUUGGGCGUAAAGCGCGCGCAGGCGGCUAUUUAAGUCUGGUGUUUAAACCUUGGGCUCAACCUGAGGUCGCACUGGAAACUGGGUGGCUUGAGUACAGAAGAGGAAAGUGGAAUUCCACGUGUAGCGGUGAAAUGCGUAGAUAUGUGGAGGAACACCAGUGGCGAAGGCGACUUUCUGGGCUGU
rnacentral:rRNA from 1 species